UAUAAUAUUUAUUUAACUGUUGCUGCUUUUGACUUCAUUGUCAUAGUUUCAUACCUUCUCAAGCCCAGACAGAAGGAAACAAAUUCCUAUGGAGUAAAUGCUAUAUAUGUGGUAUUCGAUAACAAAUUCUCCAUGGACUUGGGACUAACAGGAAUUUAAAGCGUUACAUACAAGAUUCAGUGAAAUGAAAGAAGGCACGGGUCAUCCGUAUGUAGGACUGCAACGGCACACCAGUAGUGGCACAGUGAGAAAAAAUUCAAGAUGUGCAAAUAAAUUUGUGUAUGUCUCCUGAUAAAAUGUCUGUUAUUGUGUCCAAUUUUAACCAAAAUUGGAAUGCACUGACAAAUUUUAGCACACUCCCCAGAAUCAAACAUUACAAAAAUCAGUUUGUUUCUCAAGCAGACAGACAGUGCAAAGUUAAUGGGUGCAUCACUUAAAUUUCGAUGCGGACGCAUCUAAAAAUUAAUCAAUAUCAGCUGUAAAAUUCUGAUAUCUGCAAUUGAAUCGGGAAUAGGCACACAAACAUAUGUAGCAUGUUAAUGGAGAUUUAGAAAAUCUAAAUAUAAU